AUGUCCUCCUACAGCCGGAGUCAGGGAUGAAGUCUGGCUCCCGUAGGAGUCCGGGCGAAGUCUAGAAAGUGGUCGAUCAUCAUGGAAACUUGGGUGGAGUCCAUCCAUCACGAAGAAUCCGGUCGACGCUGGUGGGGGCUUAUCCGUCGGCAAAACUUGGGAGUGUUCCGGAGGCUCGGCCGCCAGAGCGGCUUGGAGAGAUGUCGCC
rnacentral:lncRNA from 1 species